GGGUUGUGAGGUUAAGCGACUAAGCGUACACGGUGGAUGCCCUGGCAGUCAGAGGCGAUGAAGGACGUGCUAAUCUGCGAAAAGCGUCGGUAAGGUGAUAUGAACCGUUAUAACCGGCGAUGUCCGAAUGGGGAAACCCAGUGCAAUUCGUUGCACUAUCGUUAACUGAAUACAUAGGUUAACGAGGCGAACCGGGGGAACUGAAACAUCUAAGUACCCCGAGGAAAAGAAAUCAACCGAGAUUCCCCCAGUAGCGGCGAGCGAACGGGGAGCAGCCCGGAGUCUGAAUCAGCUUGUGUGUUAGUGGAAGCGUCUGGAAAGUCGCAGGGUACAGGGUGAUACUCCCGUACACUAAAACACACAGGCUGUGAACUCGAAGAGUAGGGCGGGACACGUGGUAUCCUGUCUGAAUAUGGGGGGACCAUCCUCCAAGGCUAAAUACUCCUGACUGACCGAUAGUGAACCAGUACCGUGAGGGAAAGGCGAAAAGAACCCCGGCGAGGGGAGUGAAAAAGAACCUGAAACCGUGUACGUACAAGCAGUAGGAGCCCACUAGUUGGGUGACUGCGUACCUUUUGUAUAAUGGGUCAGCGACUUAUAUUCUGUAGCAAGGUUAACCGUAUAGGGGAGCCGCAGGGAAACCGAGUCUUAACUGGGCGUUAAGUUGCAGGGUAUAGACCCGAAACCCGGUGAUCUAGCCAUGGGCAGGUUGAAGGUUGGGUAACACUAACUGGAGGACCGAACCGACUAAUGUUGAAAAAUUAGCGGAUGACUUGUGGCUGGGGGUGAAAGGCCAAUCAAACCGGGAGAUAGCUGGUUCUCCCCGAAAGCUAUUUAGGUAGCGCCUCGUGAAUUCAUCUUCGGGGGUAGAGCACUGUUUCGGCUAGGGGGUCAUCCCGACUUACCAACCCGAUGCAAACUACGAAUACCGAAGAAUGUUAUCACGGGAGACACACGGCGGGUGCUAACGUCCGUCGUGAAGAGGGAAACAACCCAGACCGCCAGCUAAGGUCCCAAAGUCAUGGUUAAGUGGGAAACGAUGUGGGAAGGCCCAGACAGCCAGGAUGUUGGCUUAGAAGCAGCCAUCAUUUAAAGAAAGCGUAAUAGCUCACUGGUCGAGUCGGCCUGCGCGGAAGAUGUAACGGGGCUAAACCAUGCACCGAAGCUGCGGCAGCGACACUAUGUGUUGUUGGGUAGGGGAGCGUUCUGUAAGCCGUUGAAGGUGGCCUGUGAGGGUUGCUGGAGGUAUCAGAAGUGCGAAUGCUGACAUAAGUAACGAUAAUGCGGGUGAAAAACCCGCACGCCGGAAGACCAAGGGUUCCUGUCCAACGUUAAUCGGGGCAGGGUGAGUCGACCCCUAAGGCGAGGCCGAAAGGCGUAGUCGAUGGGAAACAGGUUAAUAUUCCUGUACUUGGUGUUACUGCGAAGGGGGGACGGAGAAGGCUAUGUUGGCCGGGCGACGGUUGUCCCGGUUUAAGCAUGUAGGCGGAUGUUCCAGGUAAAUCCGGAACGUCACUAACGCUGAGGUGUGAUGACGAGGCACUACGGUGCUGAAGUGACAAAUGCCCUGCUUCCAGGAAAAGCCUCUAAGCAUCAGGUAACAUCAAAUCGUACCCCAAACCGACACAGGUGGUCAGGUAGAGAAUACCAAGGCGCUUGAGAGAACUCGGGUGAAGGAACUAGGCAAAAUGGUGCCGUAACUUCGGGAGAAGGCACGCUGAUGGUAAGUGAAGUGACUUGCUCAUGGAGCUGAAAUCAGUCGAAGAUACCAGCUGGCUGCAACUGUUUAUUAAAAACACAGCACUGUGCAAACACGAAAGUGGACGUAUACGGUGUGACGCCUGCCCGGUGCCGGAAGGUUAAUUGAUGGGGUUAUCCUCACGGAGAAGCUCUUGAUCGAAGCCCCGGUAAACGGCGGCCGUAACUAUAACGGUCCUAAGGUAGCGAAAUUCCUUGUCGGGUAAGUUCCGACCUGCACGAAUGGCGUAAUGAUGGCCAGGCUGUCUCCACCCGAGACUCAGUGAAAUUGAACUCGCUGUGAAGAUGCAGUGUACCCGCGGCAAGACGGAAAGACCCCGUGAACCUUUACUAUAGCUUGACACUGAACACUGGUCCUUGAUGUGUAGGAUAGGUGGGAGGCUUUGAAGUGUGGACGCCAGUCUGCAUGGAGCCGUCCUUGAAAUACCACCCUUUAAUGGCUGGUGUUCUAACGUGGGCCCGUGAUCCGGGUUGCGGACAGUGUCUGGUGGGUAGUUUGACUGGGGCGGUCUCCUCCUAAAGAGUAACGGAGGAGCACGAAGGUCAGCUAAUCCUGGUCGGACAUCAGGAGGUUAGUGCAAUGGCAUAAGCUGGCUUGACUGCGAGCGUGACGGCGCGAGCAGGUGCGAAAGCAGGUCAUAGUGAUCCGGUGGUUCUGAAUGGAAGGGCCAUCGCUCAACGGAUAAAAGGUACUCCGGGGAUAACAGGCUGAUACCGCCCAAGAGUUCAUAUCGACGGCGGUGUUUGGCACCUCGAUGUCGGCUCAUCACAUCCUGGGGCUGAAGUAGGUCCCAAGGGUAUGGCUGUUCGCCAUUUAAAGUGGUACGCGAGCUGGGUUUAGAACGUCGUGAGACAGUUCGGUCCCUAUCUGCCGUGGGCGCUGGAGAAUUGAGGGGGGCUGCUCCUAGUACGAGAGGACCGGAGUGGACGCAUCACUGGUGUUCGGGUUGUCAUGCCAAUGGCAUUGCCCGGUAGCUAAAUGCGGAAGAGAUAAGUGCUGAAAGCAUCUAAGCACGAAACUUGCCCCGAGAUGAGUUCUCCCUGACUCCUUGAGAGUCCUGAAGGAACGUUGAAGACGACGACGUUGAUAGGCCGGGUGUGUAAGCGCAGCGAUGCGUUGAGCUAACCGGUACUAAUGAACCGUGAGGCUUAACCUUACAACGCCGAAG
rnacentral:rRNA from 13 species